rnacentral:tRNA from 1 species
ACAAAUAUAGUUUAAAUAGGUAAAAUGUUAAUUUUCCAUAUUAAAGAUGUGGAUUCAAAUUCCAUUAUUUGUA